CAUGCCCCUUAUACGCUGGGCUACACACGUGCUACAAUGGGUAGAACAGAGAGUCGCAAAGCUGUGAAGUGGAGCUAAUCUCAGAAAACUAUUCUUAGUUCGGAUUGUACUCUGCAACUCGAGUACAUGAAGUUGGAAUCGCUAGUAAUCGCGAAUCAGCAAUGUCGCGGUGAAUACGUUCUCGGGUCUUGUACACACCGCCCGUCACACCACGAGAGUUGGUUGCACCUGAAGUAGCAGGCCUAACCGUAAGGAGGGAUGCUCCGAGGGUGUGAUUAGCGAUUGGGGUGAAGUCGUAACAAGGUAUCCGUACGGGAACGUGCGGAUGGAUCACCUCCUUUCUAAGGAGUAUAAGUCUUUCUCUAUUCUAUUGGUAAUGUUCUUACAUUACUUCUGACCAUUGGAAACUAUAUAGUAGACCAACCACGAAAAAAAUUAACUCUACCAGUUUCUUAGAGUUAGCUGUCAAAAAAUAGGUUAAAAUAAUUAAGGGCACACAAAGGAUGCCUAGGUAGUAAGAGCCGAUGAAGGACGUGGUAAGCUGCGAUAAGCCUAG
rnacentral:sRNA from 1 species